GGGGGCGUGGCGGAAUGGUAGACGCUACGGACUUAAAAUCCGUUGACCGCAAGGUCGUAUGGGUUCAAGUCCCUUCGCCCCCA
rnacentral:tRNA from 1 species